UACGUAGGGGGCGAGCGUUGUCCGGAGUACUGGGCGUAAAGCGCACGCAGGCGGUCUGCUAAGUUUGGAGUGACAGUUGGUGGCUUAACUGCCAAAGUGCUUCGAAAACUGACAGACUUGAGGGCUUCAGAGGGACACGGAAUUCCGGGUGGAGUGGUGAAAUGCGUAGAUAUCGUCUGGAACGCCAAAGGUGAAAACAGCUCGCUGGGGUUGUGCUGACGCUGGGACACGAAAGCCAGGGGAGCGAACGGG
rnacentral:rRNA from 1 species